rnacentral:rRNA from 1 species
ACUGCUCAGUAACACGUGGACAACCUACCCUUAGGCCUGGGAUAAACCUGGGAAACUGGGUAUAAUACCGGAUAGGUCUCGAAUGCUGGAAUGCAUCGAGGCUGAAAGCUCCGGCGCCUAAGGAUGGGUCUGCGGCCUAUCAGGGUAGUAGUGGGUGUAAUGUACCUACUAGCCUACGGCGGGUACGGGUCGUGAGAGCGAGAGCCCGGAGAUGGAUUCUGAGACACGAAUCCAGGCCCUACGGGGUGCAGCAGGCGCGAAAACUUUACAAUGCUGGAAACAGCGAUAGGGGGACUUUGAGUGCCAGGAUACAAUUCUGGCUGUCGUGAUGCCUAAAAAGCAUUGCAUAGCAAGGGCCGGGCAAGACCGGUGCCAGCCGCCGCGGUAACACCGGCGGCUCGAGUGGUAACCGCUAUUAUUGGGUCUAAAGGGUCUGUAGCCGGCUGAAAAAGUCUCUUGGGAAAUCUGGCUGCUCAACAGUCAGGCUUUCAGGAGAUACUCUUCGGCUCGAGACCGGGAGAGGUGAGAGGUACUUCAUGGGUAGGGGUGAAAUCUUGUAAUCCUUGAAGGACCACCAGUGGCGAAGGCGUCUCACCAGAACGGAUCUGACGGCAAGGGACGAAAGCUAGGGGCACGAACCGGAUUAGAUACCCGGGUAGUCCUAGCCGUAAACGAUACUCGCUAGGUGUCGGCCACGGUGCGACCGUGGUCGGUGCCGUAGGGAAGCCGUGAAGCGAGCCACCUGGGAAGUACGGCCGCAAGGCUGAAACUUAAAGGAAUUGGCGGGGGAGCA